rnacentral:lncRNA from 1 species
AAAAGAUGGUUAAAAUACAAAUAGAGAAAGUUCGACCACGUAGGACCACUAAGUUAGCAGCCUCAACGAACUGGAGUGCACCGCAGACAAGGCACGCUGACGUCGGUGCCACGCAGGAGGCCAUAUUGGCGAUCUACGUACCCCGCGAUCUGAAUGCCCAAAAUUGAUCUUGCGCGCGUAGACGGUCUGGAUUCAUUUCUCCCU